GACGAACGCUGGCGGCGUGCUUAACACAUGCAAGUCGAACGGAAAGGCCCUUCUUUUGUGGGGUGCUCGAGUGGCGAACGGGUGAGUAACACGUGAGUAACCUGCCCUUGACUUUGGGAUAACUUCAGGAAACUGGGGCUAAUACCGGAUAGGAGCUCCUGCUGCAUGGUGGGGGGGGGAAAGUUUCGGCGGUUGGGGAGGGACUCGCGGCUUAUCAGCUUGUUGGGGGGGUAGUGGCUUACCAAGGCUUCGACGGGUAGCCGGCCUGAGAGGGUGACCGGCCACAUUGGGACUGAGAUACGGCCCAGACUCCUACGGGAGGCAGCAGUGGGGAAUAUUGCACAAUGGGCGGAAGCCUGAUGCAGCAACGCCGCGUGCGGGAUGACGGCCUUCGGGUUGUAAACCGCUUUCGCCUGUGACGAAGCGUGAGUGACGGUAAUGGGUAAAGAAGCACCGGCUAACUACGUG
rnacentral:rRNA from 1 species